rnacentral:rRNA from 1 species
AGCAGCCGCGGUAAUUCCAGCUCCAAUAGCGUAUAUUAAAGUUGUUGCAGUUAAAAAGCUCGUAGUUGAAUUUCGGGAUCAAGGAAUCGGUCAUGCCUUGGUAUGUACUGGUUUUAUUGGUUCUCACCUUCUAAAGAACCAUAAUGUCAUUUAUUUGAUGUUAUGGGGAAUUAGGACUGUUACCUUGAAAAAAUUAGAGUGUUUAAAGCAGGCUCACGCUUGAAUACAUUAGCAUGGAAUAAUGAAAUAGGACGUUUGAUUCUAUUUUGUUGGUUUCUAGGAUCGACGUAAUGAUUAAUAGGGAUAGUUGGGGGCAUUAGUAUUCAAUUGUCAGAGGUGAAAUUCUUGGAUUUAUUGAAGACUAACUACUGCGAAAGCAUUUGCCAAGGAUGUUUUCAUUAAUCAAGAACGAAAGUUAGGGGAUCGAAGACGAUCAGAUACCGUCGUAGUCUUAACCAUAAACUAUGCCGACUAGGGAUCGGAUGAUGUUAAUUUUUAAUGUACUCAUUCGGCGCCUUAC